rnacentral:lncRNA from 1 species
GUUUGUUCCUUUGUUUUUUGUGGCUCUGGGGAUGGACCCAGGGACCCUGUGUGGGCGAAGGAGGGAGGCAGCUCUCUGGGGCCCAUAGCAUUUUUCAUCUGUCACAGCAUUUCAUGCUCAUCGUGUUUGAAAGAUUAGAGAGUCAAACAGUCUGUUUGACUAAGAUGGUAGAUCCUGGAUGGUGCAGCGCCAGGAGACAGCUACGGUACGUGUGCUCCCUUUCUGCGCAUGCCCGAUCAGGAGACAGUCAGUUCCCGCCCAGGCCAGGCGGGCCGGGGGCAGGAGUCACCCGGCCCUCCCACACUAUAAAUAAAG